rnacentral:misc_RNA from 1 species
AUUUCAUAUAUAUAAUUGAUUAUUUUUUGUAUACCUCCAAAACCCUCAGCACCCACUUGCCUUGAUUUUUCUUAGUAGAUUGGCAUAUAUAAAUCUAAGACAUCAUACACACUUGCUUCUCAGAAACAGAAGAAUAUGGGUAUGUUUUCUAAGUCUCCUCUGCUUUUUCUACUUCUUGUACUCUCAAUUUCCUUCCCCCAGAAACCAAGAAUCACAGAAGCAAGAACGCUUUCUUUCCUAGCUGAACAAA